rnacentral:rRNA from 1 species
ACGUAUGUCGCAAGCGUUAUCCGGAUUUAUUGGGCGUAAAGCGCGUCUAGGUGGUUUGGUAAGUCUGAUGUGAAAAUGCGGGGCUCAACUCCGUAUUGCGUUGGAAACUGUCAAACUAGAGUACUGGAGAGGUGGGCGGAACUACAAGUGUAGAGGUGAAAUUCGUAGAUAUUUGUAGGAAUGCCGAUGGAGAAGUCAGCCCACUGGACAGAUACUGACGCUGAAGCGCGAAAGCGUGGGUAGCAAACAG